rnacentral:rRNA from 1 species
AAUGAACGUUGGCGGCGUGGAUUAGGCAUGCAAGUCGAGCGGAAAGGCCCGCAAGGGCACUCGAGCGGCGUAAGGGACAGUAAUGUGUAGGUACGUACCCCUGGGUCUAGGAUAGCUGCGGGAAACUGCAAUUAAUACUAGAUGAUGUCUCCGGACCAAAGGUGUGAUUCCACCCAGGGAGCGGCCUACGUCCUAUUAGCUAGUUGGUGAGGUGACGGCUCACCAAGGCGAAGAUGGGUAGCAGGUGUGAGAGCACGACCUGCGUCACUGGGACUGAGACACUGCCCAGACACCUACGGGUGGCUGCAGUCGAGAAUCUUCGGCAAUGGGCGAAAGCCUGACCGAGCGACGCCCGCGUGC